AAAAUAUCCUCAUAAGUUAGACGAUAAGAGGUACCAUCUAUGAUUUCAAUUAUUAAGAAUUUUAAUUUAUUUUUUUCCCACAGGAGAAGGAUAGAAUCAAAGUUAAAAAUAACUGAUAGAUAGAGGGUGGCACAGAAUCGGAGGCCCCGACUGUUUACUAAAAACACAACACAGUGCAAUCAUUAAUGUGGUAGUAUACUGUGUGAAAUUUGCCCAAUGCCAUUAAUAUAAAAGCGGUCAUGGGAAACUGUGACUAAUUGAAAAUCUGGUUAAUAGCGGUCUUAAUCAUGAGGAUCCUAAGGUAGCAAAAUAAAUUGGCCAUUAAAUGUGGUCCGGUAUCAAUAAUGUAACGAUGGCCUCACUGUCUCUACAACUUGCUCAGUGAAAUUGAAUUACGCGUGCAGAUGCGCGUUACCUCCAGUGGGACGGGAAGACCCUAUGCACUUUCU
rnacentral:rRNA from 1 species